rnacentral:rRNA from 1 species
GGGUCAGUAGGUUGGUCGUGCCACCGGUACGUACUGGUCUCACUGAUUCCUCCUUCCUGAAGAACCGUAAUGCCAUUAAUUUGGUGUUGCGGGGAAACAGGACUGUUACUUUGAAAAAAUUAGAGUGUUUAAAGCAAGCUAACGCUUGAAUACAGUAGCAUGGAAUAAUGAAAUAGGACGAUCGAUCCUAUUUUGUUGGUUUCUAGGAUUGACGUA